rnacentral:rRNA from 1 species
UACGAAGGGAGCUAGCGUUGUUCGGAAUCACUGGGCGUAAAGCGCACGUAGGCGGAUGUGUCAGUCAGGGGUGAAUCCGGAGCUCAACUUCGGAACUGCCUUUGAUACAGCACGUCUUGAGUCCGAUAGAGGUGGGUGGAAUUCCUAGUGUAGAGGUGAAAUUCGUAGAUAUUAGGAAGAACACCGGUGGCGAAGGCGGCCCACUGGAUCGGUACUGACGCUGAGGUGCGAAAGCGUGGGGAGCGAACAGG